CAGCAGCCGCGGGAAUACGAAGGGUGCAAGCGUUACUCGGAAUUACUGGGCGUAAAGCGUGCGUAGGUGGUUGUUUAAGUCUGCUGUGAAAGCCCUGGGCUCAACCUGGGAAUUGCAGUGGAUACUGGGCAACUAGAGUAAGGUAGAGGAUAGUGGAAUUUCCGGUGUAGCAGUGAAAUGCGUAGAGAUCGGAAGGAACAUCUGUGGCGAAGGCGACUAUCUGGGCCAUUACUGACACUGAGGCACGAAAGCGUGGGGAGCAAACAGGAUUAGAUACCCGCGUAGUCCCUGUCUCUUAUAC
rnacentral:rRNA from 1 species